rnacentral:rRNA from 1 species
AUGGGCGGCGACGGGCCGGCGAUCGGCGUCGACCUCGGGACGACCUACUCGUGCGUGGCAGUGUGGCGGCCCUCCCACAACCGCGUCGAGGUCAUCCCCAACGACCAGGGGAACCUCACCACGCCGUCCCGCGUCGCCUUCACCGACGCCUGGCGGCUCAUCGGCGACGCGGCUCUCAACCAAGCCGCAAGGAACCCCGUCAACACCGUCUUCGAUGCGAAGCGACUGAUUGGCAGGAAAUUCAGUGAUGCGUCUGUGCAAGGAGACAUGAAGCUAUGGCCUUUCAAAGUCGUUUCAGGUCCUUGUGACCGACCGAUGAUCGUGGUGCAGUACAUGGGCCAGGAGAAGAAAUUCACGGCAGAAGAGAUCUCCUCCAUGAUACUCGUUAAGAUGAAGGAGACUGCCGAGGCCUACCUCGGGACGUCGGUGAAGAACACCGUCAUCACUGUCCCGGUCUACUUCAACGACUCCCAACGCCAGGCCACCAUUGACGCCGGUGUGAUUGCUGGCCUCAACGUCAUGUGUAUCAUCAACGAGCCCUCUGCAGCAGCCAUUGCUUAUGGUCUUGACAAGAUGUCCGGCAGCAGUGAAGCGAAGACGGUACUCAUCUUUGAUCUCGGCGGCGGUACUAUGGAUGUCUCCAUUAUCAGUGUACAAAAUGGCGUCUUCACGGUCAAGGCCACGUCCGGUGGCACCCACCUUGGCGGGCAGGAUCUCAACAACCGGAUGGAGCUCAACAUGGACCUCUUCCGCAAGUGCAUCGAGCACGUCGAGAAAUGCCUCCGCGAUGCCAAGAUGGACAAGUCUAGGAUCCACGACGUCGUGCUUGUGGGCGGCUCCACCCGGAUCCCCAAAGUGCAGCAGCUGCUCCAGGAUUUCUUCGAUGGGAAGACGCUCUGCAAGAGCAUCAACCCUGACGAGGCCGUUGCCUACGGCGCCGCUGUCCAAGCUGCCGCCCUCAGCGGCGAGUGUGACCGCAAGGGGCAGGACUUCCUCCUGCUGGACGUCACCCCGCUCUCGCUCGGAGUCGAGGUUGUGCCUGGUAUCAUGAGUGUGCUGGUUCCCCGGAACAGCACCAUCCCGGUUAAGAGGGAGGGGCCAUACACGACAAAAUUCGACAACCAGACGAGCGUGCUCAUCAAGGUGUAUGAGGGUGAAGGGGAGUUGACCAAGGACAACAGGCUCCUGGGCACGUUUGCGCUUACCGGCAUCACCCCAGCCCUAAGGGGCGUGCCGAAGUUGAUUGAAACCAUUGAAGUCGAAGCAAACGGCAUCCUCAAAGUGACGGCGGAGGACAUCACAACUGGAAACAAGAAGAGCAUCAACAUCACCACGGACAAGGGCGGGCUGAGCAAGGAGGAGAUCGAACGCAUGGUGAAGGACGCCGAGAAGUACAGGUCGGAGGACAGGAAGAGGAUAAUGAAAAUGAAGAAGGAAGACGAGGAGGGCUGGCUG